UACGGAGGGUGCAAGCGUUACUCGGAAUCACUGGGCGUAAAGGGUGCGUAGGCUGGCUUCUAAGUCAGAUGUGAAAUCCAAUGGCUUAACCAUUGAACUGCAUUUGAAACUGGAAGCCUAGAGUUCAGAAGGGGCAGAUGGAAUUAGUGGUGUAGGGGUAAAAUCCGUAGAUAUCACUAGGAAUAUCAAAAGCGAAGGCGAUCUGCUGGGAUGAUACUGACGCUGAGGCACGAAAGCGUGGGGAGCAAACAGGAUUAGAUACCCUGGUAGUCCACGCCCUAAACGAUGAAUGCUAGUCGUCGGGGUACUCGUUACUUCGGUGAUGCACUUAACAGAUUAAGCAUUCCGCCUGGGGAGUACGGUCGCAAGAUUAAAACUCAAAGGAAUAGACGGGGACCCGCACAAGUGGUGGAGCAUGUGGUUUAAUUCGAAGAUACACGAAGAACCUUACCUGGCCUUGACAUGGUAGGAACCCUUAAGAGAUUAGGGGGUGCUAGCUUGCUAGAACCUACACACAGGUGCUGCACGGCUGUCGUCAGCUCGUGUCGUGAGAUGUUGGGUUAAGUCCCGCAACGAGCGCAACCCUCGUCCUUAGUUGCUAACAGUUCGGCUGAGCACUCUAAGGAGACUGCCUUCGCAAGGAGGAGGAAGGUGAGGACGACGUCAAGUCAUCAUGGCCCUUACGGCCAGGGCUACACACGUGCUACAAUGGGGCGUACAAAGAGCUGCAAUACCGCGAGGUGGAGCCAAUCUCUUAAAGCGUCUCUCAGUUCGGAUUGUUCUCUGCAACUCGAGAACAUGAAGCUGGAAUCACUAGUAAUCGUAGAUCAGCUAUGCUACGGUGAAUACGUUCCCGGGUCU
rnacentral:rRNA from 1 species